rnacentral:rRNA from 1 species
GCGUAAUAGCUCACUGGUCGAGUCGGCCUGCGCGGAAGAUGUAACGGGGCUAAACCAUGCACCGAAGCUGCGGCAGCGACACGAUGUGUUGUUGGGUAGGGGAGCGUUCUGUAAGCCUGCGAAGGUGACCUGUGAGGGUUGCUGGAGGUAUCAGAAGUGCGAAUGCUGACAUAAGUAACGAUAAAGCGGGUGAAAAGCCCGCUCGCCGGAAGACCAAGGGUUCCUGUCCAACGUUAAUCGGGGCAGGGUGAGUCGACCCCUAAGGCGAGGCCGAAAGGCGUAGUCGAUGGGAAACAGGUUAAUAUUCCUGUACUUGGUGUUACUGCGAAGGGGGGACGGAGAAGGCUAUGUUAGCCGGGCGACGGUUGUCCCGGUUUAAGCAUGUAGGCUGAUUAUCCAGGCAAAUCCGGAUAAUCAAGGCUGAGGUGUGAUGACGAGGCACUACGGUGCUGAAGUAACAAAUGCCCUGCUUCCAGGAAAAGCCUCUAAGCAUCAGGUAACAUCAAAUCGUACCCCAAACCGACACAGGUGGUCAGGUAGAGAAUACCAAGGCGCUUGAGAGAACUCGGGUGAAGGAACUAGGCAAAAUGGUGCCGUAACUUCGGGAGAAGGCACGCUGGUGUGUAGGUGAAG